AAAAAAAAUCUCAUUUUUCCCCCAAAACCCACAACAUAAUUUCCAAAACCAAUUUUUUUUCCCCCAAAACACACAACAUAAUUUCCAAAACCAAUUUUUUUUCCCCAAAACCCACAACAUAAUUUCCAUCCAUCCUCUUUCUCUCUCUCUUUCUUUCCCUCACCCCUCUUAUCCUCAAAAGUAGAGGGAAUGGCCGACCUCAGCCGCCCUCACCGCGACCUUUGCCGUCGCCGCCAACUCUCCCUCACUGCUGCCAUCGCCGCUUACUUUGCUUCCGCUCUAGAUUACAUCCGCACCAACUUUAAUUGCUUCCACUUCUUCUUCUCUAAGUUACUCUCUUCCUCUUAUUUUAUUUUAUUUAUUUAUUUAUUUUGUAAAAAAUGAUCUUUCUCUUUGUAUCUAUCUCUAGGGUGCUCUUUCUAAUCCUACCUCUCAAAUUUUUUUACUUUUUUGAAGGGAAGACCAAGGCCACUCAAAAGUAUUAGGGUCAUAAUAUUCUUAAUUAUGAAGCAUGCAUAUUGGAGGAUUUUUACAAUCUUCAACUGAAAAACACAACCAUUGGUAUUAUUUACUUUCUAUGAAUUGGAAUAUCAUUCUAUAAUUGCAGUCCACAUACGAGAUUAGUUUACUAUGUGACUAUUUUAGCAUAUCUUUUUGAUUCUAAGAUAAGCAUAUUUUUUUUAUUGAGAAAGUAAUUGUGAUCUUAUUUAAAAUGUGGGAUCUGAUGGAAGGUUUUUGUGUCUUUAGGGCUCCUAUGGUACUAAAUAAAUUUUGUAUGCAAAUUAUUAUUGCGUGCUUUUUAUAUAUUUUUGUUUAUAAUUGAUGAUGGGGUUCUGUUAUUUCUUCAUAUUUUUUUGAAAAAAAAUUUAUUUAGAUGCACACUAGAUCAAUUGCAGUAAAAAAAGCAUUCACAAGAGCAAUUAUCAUACAAUAGCUAUCCUUUGUAGACCAUUGUUUAAUUUUCCUUCUCUUGUCUUCACUCUAUUCUUUCUUCAGUACUCUGCAGCCAAAAUCUCACAAGUAUUCAAAAUCUAUGGAUAUCCAAAUCCACAAGUAAAUCCACUGCACUAUAAUACUAUCUAACUAAAUCACACUGCACUAUAAUACUAUCUAACUAAAUCACACGUGGCCUCGCUCAGUCAUACCGACCACUCGACAAAACUCUAAACCCCACUCAUCUGCCGCUCGACCGCUUUCUUUCUCCCCCUCUUGGCUUGUGCUAGAUCUCCCCCUUCUUUCUCUCUCGCUCUUUUAUGAAGAGAACUACGAGGACAA
rnacentral:lncRNA from 1 species